rnacentral:rRNA from 1 species
UACGUAGGUGGCAAGCGUUGUCCGGAUUUACUGGGCGUAAAGGGCGUGCAGGCGGUCUGUUAAGUUCAGGGUGAAAGCUCCCGGCUCAACUGGGAGAGGUCCUUGGAUACUGGCAGACUUGAGGGAGGUAGAGGAGAGUGGAAUUCCCGGUGUAGUGGUGAUAUGCGUAGAUAUCGGGGAGGAACACCAGUGGCGAAGGCGGCUCUCUGGGCCUUUCCUGACGCUGAGACGCGAAAGCGUGGGGAGCGAACCGG